CGAGUUUGAUCAUGGCUCAGACGAACGCUGGCGGCAUGCCUAACACAUGCAAGUCGAACGAAGUCUUCGGACUUAGUGGCGCACGGGUGCGUAACGCGUGGGAACCUGCCUUUAGGUUCGGAAUAACUCAGAGAAAUUUGAGCUAAUACCGGAUAAUGUCUUCGGACCAAAGAUUUAUCGCCUUUAGAUGGGCCCGCGUUGGAUUAGCUAGUUGGUGGGUAAAGGCCUACCAAGGCGACGAUCCAUAGCUGGUCUGAGAGGAUGAUCAGCCACACUGGGACUGAGACACGGCCCAGACUCCUACGGGAGGCAGCAGUGGGGAAUAUUGGACAAUGGGCGAAAGCCUGAUCCAGCAAUGCCGCGUGAGUGAUGAAGGCCUUAGGGUUGUAAAGCUCUUUUACCCGAGAUGAUAAUGACAGUAUCGGGAGAAUAAGCUCCGGCUAACUCCGUG
rnacentral:rRNA from 1 species